GGAUCAUCCCCUUAUGUCACAGUAUGGCGUCUAUGGAAAUGGCUUUUUCUCUUAAUGGCUAAUAAAGAGGGUGGAACAAUAGGGGCCCUUUCUACAGCUCACCACCGCGAUGGCCUUUGGAUCCCCAGGUCAGGUUGGUAAACAAGUUCUGCUGGAACUCUGUGUUCUAGAAAUAUCGAUUCAGCCCUGAAUCCAAUCUUGAUUCAGCCCUGAAUCCAAUCCGAUGAUUUGUUCUGUCACCACCUGUGCAUCUGGUCGUUUACAAAACGUUUGAUCUGCAUAUUUUUGACGAUCUAUUAUAUGACUGAUAAUGGCUCACGAGGAUGUCACUAUACUGACGACACAGGGCCGAUACAUCUAGAACUUCACUGAUUCUCUUUCUCCUGCACUCAAAGUGUUCCAGAUUUCUCCUGGUUUCUCCAACAGGCCUAUGAGGUGGACUGAUAUGAUAUUGACAUGAGUGUUCUCCUGUUCUGUAUUUUGAAGAGAGACCAGAUUCAGCCUCUUGUCUGUACUGUUCGCUGACUGAACCCUAAUGGAAUAGAAGCCAGCGCUAAACGAUGUACAGUCUCACAGCCACACUGAACUCUGAAGACGGAAAUGGAGUCGAAACGGUCAAAAAGAAAACAUGGAAACACGAUGGAAUGAUGUUUCAUAAAAGCCUGAGUUUUUAACUUGUAAGAACCACUUUUAAAUGUGUCUGAAUGCAUCUUGAUUCCAAUAUAGAACUGCAGUACUAACAGAGAAAGGUAUACUUGUUAAUGUUUUAUAAUGGAUAUGGAAACUACCACAGUCAUGGAACUAUACUAAUUAUAACGGUAUUUUGUGUAUGUAUUGGUUGGCUUGAUUUUACAGUUAAACUCUGGAUCAAACCCAGAUUAAUGUUGGUUGGCCUCGCUAAGAAGAAAGAAAACGCAAAAUAGUUGAUUUCUAAAAACCCUUCCGUGAACGGACGUGUGUACGGAGAACUGGGAUAACCAAUGGGAAUACUGGGAUAGCCAAUGGGAAUACUGGGAAUCGACGGAGAAAAAGAUAACCUCAAUGGAUCUAGGAAUCAUUAAAGACGGAACUGGGGUACAUGACGAACAUUAGUCCUAAACCCUAGAACAUCAACACCAUGAUCAUCAUCAUCAUCAUCAUCAUCUUCAUCAUCAUCAUCAUCAUCACCUUCAUCAUCAUCAUCAUCAUCAUCCCCAUCAUCAUCACCUUCAUCAUCAUCAUCAUCAUCAUCAUCAUCAUCAUCAUCAUCAUCAUCACCACCAACACCACCACCAUCACCCCCCACGGUGACUGGGAGUUGGCCGAUGUACCCCCAGGGGACCCAUGGAGGACGGGCUUCAGGCUAGCGUGGGGUGAGCCUCAUGUCCUCAGAGCGCCUGGAGGGGGGGGUCAGCGUUGGGGCCGUGGGUCGGCAUGACGACAUGCUUCGUAACUAAAAUGUGACUUUUUUUGUGUUAGCCGAAAAAAAGCAAAACACAACACAACGGAAACAAGACGUAAUGCGCGGAGAACAGUCGAACACCAGCGGUACGCGGUCGUACAGGCGACAAGAGGACGUCUGAGGGACACGGAGACAUGACUGAGAACGAGGCAUGGCUGGGACAUGGACCAACGCAAAGACAUGAAAACCAAACACACAGAGUCCAUUCACCAACCAAUAGAAACACAGAGUCCAUUCACCAACCAAUAGAAACACAGAGUCCAUUCACCAACCAAUAGAAACACAGAGUCC
ensembl:lncRNA